rnacentral:rRNA from 1 species
UACGUAGGGUGCAAGCGUUAAUCGGAAUUACUGGGCGUAAAGCGUGCGCAGGCGGUUGUGCAAGACAGAUGUGAAAUCCCCGGGCUCAACCUGGGAAUUGCAUUGUGACUGCACGGCUAGAGUGUGUCAGAGGGGGGUAGAAUUCCACGUGUAGCAGUGAAAUGCGUAGAGAUGUGGAGGAAUACCGAUGGCGAAGGCAGCCCCCUGGGCCAAUACUGACGCUCAUGGCACGAAAGCGUGGGGAGCAAACAGG